AUACUGUAUAGGUAGAACGAGAAAUACGAUUCGACGUACGGGGAAACGUGACGGUCUUCAAGAGUCUCGCGAAUAAAUUAAAUCCUACUUUGGAAUAGGGCAGCUUUUCUUAUCGCUCGCAAAAAUGAAUUCUAGCAUCCGGUAAAGUGUUUGAUUAAAUUUUCAGCUCUACGAAAUUCGGCGAGGUUCCUCCCGAUGUAUCCUCAUACUCCUCUACGUGCAACACGUCCGCUCUACGGCGCAAUUGUCAUAGGGAUGACCCGCUGCGGAACCUCCAAGUUCGAAAAUCUCUUCGACGAGACCAAUUGAGGAUGAUGCUGCAAUGCUGACAUCAGCCGGACUACAUGUGCAUUGACUGACUCUGAACUCUGAAGAUACGUACGUACGUACAGUCAGUCAAUGAUGCAGGGUACGACCAAAUUGCAUCUCAGUUGGUACAUGCGCCUGACGCAUGCUGCUACCUCUAAAGACCACGGC
rnacentral:misc_RNA from 1 species